rnacentral:rRNA from 1 species
UGGGGAAUAUUGGACAAUGGGCGAAAGCCUGAUCCAGCCAUGCCGCGUGUGUGAAGAAGGUCUUCGGAUUGUAACGCACUUUAAGUUGGGAGGAAGGGCAGUAAGCGAAUACCUUGCUGUUUUGACGUUACCGACAGAAUAAGCACCGGCUAAAUCUGUGCCAGCAGCCGCGGGAAUACAGAGGGUGCAAGCGUUAAUCGGAAUUACUGGGCGUAAAGCGCGCGUAGGUGGUUCGUUAAGUUGAAUGUGAAAGCCCCGGGCUCAACCUGGGAACUGCAUCCAAAACUGGCGAGCUAGAGUAGGGCAGAGGGUGGUGGAAUUUCCUGUGUAGCGGUGAAAUGCGUAGAUAUAGGAAGGAACACCAGUGGCGAAGGCGACCACCUGGGCUCAUACUGACACUGAGGUGCGAAAGCGUGGGGAGCAAACAGG